GGCGGAGUAUAAUUAGAGUUACAAACUGUGUUGAGUGCUGGAAUGGAGAGUGGGAGGGAUAUUUUUUUUUGAAGUUAAAAUUAGGUAUUUAUUUUGUUCCACUCCACUAAGGCAAGAUAUCCCUGGUUAGGUGAAGUCAGGUAUCUCCAAGGAAAGGAGAGGAAGUAGGAAAAAUACCAGAGUGGGGGCUAGAGGAGGGAGAGCUAGGGAGGUGAGGGGAAAGGGGCAGCCUGCGAGGGGGCUUCAGGAGCCUGGGCAGUUACAGCAGGCUUUAGCCUGAGGGCUCAGGAAGCCACUGAAAGGUUUUAAGUAGGGAGUGACAUACCAGAUUUGCAUUUUAAAAAGAUGGCUCCCGCUCAGGACUGGAGGGGGUGUGACCAGUUGGACCAGAGCUAGGUGAGAGAUGACAGGCCAAAGGCUUAGGAGAAAGGGGGCAGGAACUUGGUGACCUCUGGAGCUGGGGACCAAAGAGGCCAGUGAAGUUGAGGAUUUGGGAUGAGUGCUGUCUGUGACUAGUCCAGCCCUCAGGGUUGCUUUCUACCUAACUCCAGAAAAGCAUCUCCUGUCUGGGAUGGGCUCACCAGAUGUUCCCCAGAUGUUGCUGGUGAUGAGAAACAUCUUCCUCUGGGAUCCCAAGCCUUUGAGGAUGAAGGAGAUGAGCCUUUUUGGCAGUCACACAUGUGGAACUUAAUCCUGGUUUGCUUUGUAACUUGAUUGAUAGUAUGUUUUAUCAUGCGAAAGUUUAACAGUUUUAUGUAGCCAAAGUUCUUAGAUAUUUACCUUAGGGAUCCUGGUUUUUGUGUGCUGCAUUCCCUAUCAUAAUAUUACAAUAAAUUCACCUAUUCUUUUCUCA
rnacentral:lncRNA from 1 species